rnacentral:tRNA from 1 species
GCCUGGGUGGCUUAGUUGGUUGAGUGUCUGACUUUGGCUCAGGACAUGAUCUCACUGUUUGUGAGUUCAAGUUCCACAUUGGGCU